AAUUUAUUCAUCUUCCAUCAAAAAGUACAUGUUGAUCUGUAGGAGGUUACAAUCAGUGAAUUACUCCUCCCUAGCAUGAAGGAUACCAAGAUCCUGUAUGAGAUGAAAUAAAUACAAAAGACAGUUUAGACAAUGGCUUUCUAAGUACAAAGCCUGCGUGCAAAAAGUUAUAAGUCUAAACAUCCCAAGGUCCAUCAUGGAGGAUCCCAGAUUAAAUCUUGC
rnacentral:lncRNA from 1 species